rnacentral:rRNA from 1 species
GGGCCCGCACAAGCGGUGGAGCAUGUGGUUCAAUUCGACGCAACGCGAAGAACCUUACCUGGGCUCGAAGCGCAGUGGACCGGGGUAGAAAUAUCCCUUUCCGCAAGGACUGCUGCGGAGGUGCUGCAUGGCUGUCGUCAGCUCGUGUCGUGAGAUGUUGGGUUAAGUCCCGCAACGAGCGCAACCCUUAUCUCUAGUUGCCAUCGGGUCAAGCCGGGCACUCUAGCGAAACCGCCUCGGAUAACGGGGAGGAAGGUGGGGAUGACGUCAAGUCCUCAUGGCCUUUAUGUCCAGGGCUACACACGUGCUACAAUGCGCGGUACAAAACGUCGCAAACCCGUGAGGGGGAGCUAAUCGGAAAAAGCCGUGCUCAGUUCGGAUUGGAGUCUGCAAUUCGACUCCAUGAAGCUGGAAUCGCUAGUAAUCGCGGAUCAGAACGCCGCGGUGAAUACGUUCCCGGGCCUU